rnacentral:rRNA from 1 species
GGGCAGCUACACAGCGAUGUGAUGCUAAUCUCCAAACCAUGUCUCAGUUCGGAUCGGAGUCUGCAACUCGACUCCGUGAAGCUGGAUUCGCUAGUAAUCGCGCAUCAGCCAUGGCGCGGUGAAUACGUUCCCGGGCCUUGUACACACCGCCCGUCAAGCCAUGGGAGCCGGGGGUACCUGAAGUCCGUAACCGCGAGGAUCGGCCUAGGGUAAAACUGGUGACUGGGGCUAAGUCGUAACAAGGUAUC